AUUGAACGCUGGCGGCAGGCCUAACACAUGCAAGUCGAGCGGAUGAAGAGAGCUUGCUCUCUGAUUUAGCGGCGGACGGGUGAGUAAUGCCUAGGAAUCUGCCUGGUAGUGGGGGAUGACGUUCCAAAAGGAACGCUAAUACCGCAUACGUCCUACGGGAGAAAGCAGGGGACCUUCGGGCCUUGCGCUGUCAGAUGAGCCUAGGUCGGAUUAGCUAGUUGGUGAGGUAAUGGCUCACCAAGGCUACGAUCCGUAACUGGGCUGAGAGGAUGAUCAGUCACACUGAAACGGAGACACGGUCCAGACUCCUACGGGAGCCAGCAGUGGGGAAUAUUGAACAAUGGGCGAAAGCCUGAUCCAGCCAUGCCGCGUAUGUGAAGAAGGUCUUCGGAUUGUAAAGCACUUUAAGUUGGGAGGAAGGGCAGUAAGUUAAUACCUUGCUGUUUUGACGUUACCGACAGAAUAAGCACCGGCUAACUUCGUGCCAGCAGCCGCCGUAAUAC
rnacentral:rRNA from 1 species